UGGGUAACCUGCCCAUAAGACUGGGAUAACUCCGGGAAACCGGGGCUAAUACCGGAUAACAUUUUGAACCGCAUGGUUCGAAAUUGAAAGGCGGCUUCGGCUGUCACUUAUGGAUGGACCCGCGUCGCAUUAGCUAGUUGGUGAGGUAACGGCUCACCAAGGCAACGAUGCGUAGCCGACCUGAGAGGGUGAUCGGCCACACUGGGACUGAGACACGGCCCAGACUCCUACGGGAGGCAGCAGUAGGGAAUCUUCCGCAAUGGACGAAAGUCUGACGGAGCAACGCCGCGUGAGUGAUGAAGGCUUUCGGGUCGUAAAACUCUGUUGUUAGGGAAGAACAAGUGCUAGUUGAAUAAGCUGGCACCUUGACGGUACCUAACCAGAAAGCCACGGCUAACUACGUGCCAGCAGCCGCGGUAAUACGUAGGUGGCAAGCGUUAUCCGGAAUUAUUGGGCGUAAAGCGCGCGCAGGUGGUUUCUUAAGUCUGAUGUGAAAGCCCACGGCUCAACCGUGGAGGGUCAUUGGAAACUGGGAGACUUGAGUGCAGAA
rnacentral:rRNA from 1 species